rnacentral:rRNA from 1 species
UACGGGGGGGAGCAAGCGUUGUUCGGAUUUACUGGGCGUAAAGGGCGCGUAGGCGGCGUGACAAGUCACUUGUGAAAUCUCCGGGCUUAACUCGGAACGGUCAAGUGAUACUGUCGUGCUAGAGUACAGAAGGGGCAACUGGAAUUCUCGGUGUAGCGGUGAAAUGCGUAGAUAUCGAGAGGAACACCUGCGGCGAAGGCGAGUUGCUGGGCUGAUACUGACGCUGAGGCGCGAAAGCUAGGGGAGCGAACGGG